rnacentral:lncRNA from 10 species
UAACUGGAAAGUUUGGGAUCCACUGUCUUCAUAACCCCACAGCUCCUAAGAAUUCUCUCACCUGCCUUCUGCCCUUAGGCUCUGGUAGAUUGCAAACGACCUGCUUUCUUUGUGAUCCCGGGCUGCAUUCGGACCCCUGUCGGACAGUAAAUCCCAGGCUCCGGUAGAUUGCAAACGACCUGCUUUCUUCCUGAUCCCGGGCUGCGUUCGGACCCCUGUGGUAUAGUAAAUCCCAAGUAAGGUACCUGCGGUCGGCAGAUCUGAGCUUUCUUCUUGGACACCUAAUACCCAGGGUCC